AGAGAAACAGAUUCUACCACCAAAUCUCGUGUUAUACGAUAUUUAUCCACUCUCAACAGUUAAAUUUUAAAUAUUUAAAACACUCGACGAGCCUCACGCUUUAAAUUUGAAAAUUUAACUGUCUCGAGUGGACAAAUAUCGUAUCACACUCGAUGCAGUGGUAGAAUCUAUAUUUAU
rnacentral:sRNA from 1 species